rnacentral:lncRNA from 13 species
CAGGGCUACACAUGAGCGGUUUCCCUGUCAGGAUCAGUGCCUGAGUGGAUCUCCACGCAUAGUUCCUGACAGCUUUGCCCCCAGCAGGGCACUUGUGAGGAGAAGCAGUCUGGGCUUCCCAAGUCAGCCGGGGCCAUCAAUGUUUUCCCCUUCUGCUCCUCCAGCAGGAAGCAGCUAAACAGAUCUGCUGCUGCAUUGUCCAGAGUGGUUGUGCUGAGGUGGGCUGGGGCCACAAACUUCUCAUUUGUUACACUGGAGGAGCUGCACUGGCAGAGGUCAUCCAGAGCAGAGGCUUUCCAAGAGCAUAUUUUUCAAAAACGGUUCCUUUCCGAUAAAUCUGUUGAAAUUUUAACAACAGUGAUUCUUCAGACAUCUGUUUUUUCUGCUACCUCUGUUAGUACAUAACAUAUGAGAAAACUGGAAAGGAGACCUCUUAGAGAAGAUCUGACGUAUAGUUUUGGCUCUUCCCACUCUGAAAGCACGGCAGUAUCUCAACGGUGGGAGAUAAGCUGUGGACACGUGGCUGUUUUACAUCUUCAUUGUGUCUAGUGACUGGAGCAAGGUUCUGAAACAUUCACUACUCUCAUCCCGUUCCCUUCUGGAGGUGAGUUGCAAGGAAUUUAGUGAAGGCAUGAGUGAGUACUGCUUUUAUGUCCUGGUGCAGUGUGCAUUCUCU